AACAUCGCGCACCUGCGGGAACCUGCGGAAGGAUCAUUACAGAGUUGCAAAACUCCCUAAACCAUUGUGAACGUUACCUAAACCGUUGCUUCGGCGGGCGGCCCGGGUCCUUCCCGGCGCCCCUCGGCCCUCGCGGGCGCCCGCCGGAGGUAAACCAAACUAUUGCACUGUAUGGCCUCUCUGAGUCUUCUGUACUGAAUAAGUCAAAACUUUCAACAACGGAUCUCAGAUCGGAAGAGC
rnacentral:misc_RNA from 1 species